UUCAAAAGUUCCUUUGCCAGAAAAUUUAAGUUAAUCCGUCUAUUUGCAUUCAAUUAUCGAAAGCACCAGUAGUCACUAUGAGCAUCUCAUUCUAGCACCAUAUUGCAUCCUCCAAAUGGCUUUUGGAAAAAAAGAGAUAGUCACCGGAUAAGUCGAUUCGAAUCUACACGCUGUAGAUAUAGAAUAGGUUGCGACUGUGACGGUAUUUCUAUAAAUGUCAAAAUAACUCUCUCGAUGCCAAGUGACUAUUGUUGUUUUUAUAAUGUUAUUUCGUUUAUUUUCUAAAAUGCAUCGAGAUUGAGUAUUCCGCGUUCGCGAUUAUUUAUUGUCGACACGUAAAAUACCACGCAAUGUGCUUGCCCUACGCGAUUUAGAGAUAUAUCUUUACUCUUGAAAAUGUCAAAUUGUUUUUUAGUGUUUUGUAUGUAUUUUUGUUUCAAAAUGCGGUUAAAACUCUUGCACAUAGUGUAAAUGAGUGUUGUGUCUGUAUUUGAAAUGAUUUUAGAGUUAAUUAUAUGUGUUAAUGUUGUAAUAUUGCUCAGUGAAGUGUGUUGGUGAGGUUAGUUUUUCUUCCCGCUAUUAUGAGGUCCCUGUUCACAUAUCCUGGCUGCGGUUCGGUGAGUAAUAGCGAGUAAGUUUUCUAUGGGAGGAUUUCUAAAAGAAACGCUGAGUAAAGAUCUACAAUAAUAGUAUCUAGUUAUAAAAAGUGUGAACUUUGUUAAGCUUACAAAAUUGACACAGAUGUCUAGAACUUGGUCUCUGAGAGACAUUUGUGCAUGAAAAUGGCUAAUAGAUACACUUUUAACACUAAUAAAUACUUGUACAAUGUCUUCUGGAACUUAUUUUAUCUAUAAAGCAUGAAAUGAUACUUUAAAAACUUUGUUAUUGUUUAGUCAUUUAACUCUUGCAAAGGAAUGAACAAAUACUCAAAAAGAUUGACUCAAAAGCAAAAGCCUUGAAUGCUACUUAAAACUUUUGAGUAAAAGUUUGGUUGUUCUCUUAACAUUAUUUGACUAUCAGGUAAGUAAGAAACAUAACUGGUCUAUAAAAUUAUAUGUUUUAUGAAUAGACAUACUUCUAAGUAUGUUACUUUGGAUGAAUGUAUGUUCGUAUUGUUAUACUCAUACAAUUAUUAUUGUUAUUCUCAUAUAUACAAACAAAUCUUUAGAAGUCGCACAAGUACGCAACUCAUAUUUUAUUUUAGAAAUAAAGGACGGCAUAUAUAUAAUUUUACAAAGCUUUUAAAGAAUGGGUUCGAAUCCCAUGCAUAAGACAUUAUCAGCCAUGACCAGUAAGUACAAAAAAGGUGUUUUGAGCCGUUGGUAUGUAUUUACUGCUAAUAUUGGGUUCGAUUCCCAAAUACUAAUUACUAAUAGUAUAAUUGCAAAAGCAACGCCGUCUGGCUUUAAAGGUAAAACUGCUGAACCGAUUUAACUGAAAUGUAAGUACACAUGUAAUGUAAGGUACACAUGCCUGAAUAAGAACAAAGGCUUAUUUAUAUCCAGGUGCAUAGUGUGUUCAGGACUCGGGCAGAACCGCAGGGAUCAGUUAGUUCCCCUUAUAAUGUAUGUUGUAUGUUUGUUUAAAAUUACAAGUUCCUCGUAUUGAGAAACCUGGCCACUGAUGUGGAGUUUUAAUAACGAGUGCCAAUACUUACAGUAUAAGUCUUUAUUGCAAUGUAACAAUUUACUUUGGGUUCGAGUCCCAAUACUUUAAAGUAGUAUAAGUUUUUUUAUUGCAAAGCUUAACAUAUAGUUUGGGUUCGAUCCCCAAUACUUUUAACUGCCUAUUAAAAUCAAGAAUGUGUGAUUUCGUUUUUCUAAGUGAACAUCAUGGCAUUUAUGAAAAUGAUUCAAGAAUAAUAAUAUGUGGGUUCGACUCCUAACAUAUUACUGACUUUUAUAACUAUGCUUUUUUGGGCAUACACUGAAAGACUAUAGGUUCGAAUCCUAUAGCAAAAAAAAGUAGAAAAUAUCAACAAUUGGCUGUGGGUUCGACUCCCAUUUAGCUGACAGUGGUUUAAAGUAGUUAUGUGACUAAAAGAGUAUUUGCUGCAAAUAUGUGCUUAAAAAUAAAGCGAUUGUGUUUUGCUUAUAAGUAAAAUAGAUGUCUGAAGUGAUUUAAUGUUAUAGCUGGAUAUAUUGGUAUGGGUUCGAUUCCCAUUUAGAAAUAAAAUACUUGUAACAGAGAGGAGACUACUAUUUAAUAAUGUUAAAUAGGUUCGAGCCCUAUUUACAUUUAAUUAUUUUGCAAUUCAUAUUAUUUUGAUGUAUGCAGGUUCGAUUCCUGCUAAAUCAUAAAUAAGAAUUAUGGUGUUCGAAUGGAUAAUUAUAAUAAGUGGUGACUAUUAUAAUUAAUUUGUACCCUGUAGGGUUCAAUUCCCUAUCACAGUUAUGGUAUUCGAUGUGAGCCAAGAUAAUUUGACUAAAACAUUCUAAAGAAGAAAGGAUUGGGACCUAACUUUAGUUAAAUUUCCAAGCAUUUCUUCCUCUUCUUGAAUAUUUGUUGGUUAUUUGUUAACUAGCCAUAUUCACGUACAAAGUAUGAGUAUAUUCAUCUGUGUUUAGACGUUUAGAUCUCCUCCAUUUUUUAAAUUCUUUGAUGAAAAAUAUUAUUUCAAUAACCAUGGUCCCAUUACUUCUUUAAACUUUUAAAAACUUUUAAAAUCGAUUUUUUAUAUAAAUUCGCGAAUAUUUGAAACUUGUUAAAUUAUUUACGUAUUUAUUUAGAUUGUAAGGAUAUUGUUGUGAACUGUUUUUUUUUUUAUUAAAAUAAAGACAACAAAAAAAAAAUGAUUAAAAAUAAAAGUAGAUGAUUCCAAAUAAAGAUUAUGGACGGUUUGGUGUACUUAUUUACCUGUCCUUACUUCCCUUCCUAUCUAACUUCUUUAUUUUUAAGACUACUUUAAUUCUGUGCAUGUUCUCUUGACAAAAGCAUCAAAUUAAUGAGAAUGUCAAGACAGCAUGAACAGAGAUCAAAUUAAAUAAAUGCAUAUAAAACAAACAAGGUGUUUUAUUAUUUCCAAGGUGUACUAAAUAUUCUGGUUUUGCUCACAGUGCCAGCUGAAUUUAUUUAUGGGAGGACAGGCGCCGGCCAGCUAAUACUCAACGGUUUUACAUUCUAUUUGAAAAAUAACCAAACCCAGGGCAAGAAGCAGUGGUAUUGUUCCGCAAGAGACACCCAGGGUUGCCGUGUUGACGUCAUCACAUACAAGGGUGUAGACGGUAUAGAUUAUAUAUCAAUAUUCCGUGGACGACAUAUACACGAACCUCCCCGUUUGCGGAAAUGUCGCGACGGCAGAUAUAUUAGAGAUUAUAAGUAUAAAUAAAAAUUAAAUUUUUACACAUUUUUUUUUAUUAUAUUUUAUUUUACAAAAAAAUGUGAUAUACUUACUUAUUGUAACGACGUGUUUUUCUAACGCACGUUUCUGAUGUAGGGACCUGCUACCUCGUAGAUUAACAUUAAUAUGUGACUAUUUUAGGAAAUACAGUAUUCUAGUAAACAUGUGUUGGUUUUAUUGACCCGCCUUAUAACUGUGUAUGUGAUUAGCGUAGAUAAAUAUUUACUCGACAGAAUUGCCAAUAUUAUUGUUAAAUAGACGAAUUCGUUUUAAAAAGAAUCACAAGAAUGUAUAAUUUGUCUAUUUUUAAAAACAAUAAUUAUUGCUAUUGAAAUGAUGUCCUUAAAUGAAAUUCAAGCAAUCGUUUUUAUUUUCUGUUUACUUACAAUGUUUUAGAAAAAAAUAAUGAAAUGUAAAUGUAAAUCUAAAUGACUAAUUUUAAAUAUGUUUUCUGUUUAUUUUGUGCAAAAUUGUGCAAAUUGAUUCACCGUUUCACAGGUGAAUUAUAAGUAGCUGUGCGUUAUCAUUACGAUUUUUUGCAUAGCAUUGCAUUUGAUAACAUCAACAUGCGACUGUUUUGGUUCACACACACUUUAACCCAUCAAACUUUAGCAUAAGUACCUAUCAUUAGUACUUUUCUUCAUUAGAAAAAUCUAGCCACAGAAAUAAGCUCUAAUAUAAAUAUUGUUCUGGUAAUAAGACAUAAGGUUUUUUCAGGUAUUUACUACCUCCCGUCACAUAGAACUGGCAGCAUGGUGUUGAUUUACAACGACAACAAAUAUUGGAUCAAUAAUAGAUACCAGAAUACCAUUAACUGGACCUGUAGGGACCGCAAGCGGCUUGGGUGCAACAGCUGCGUGCAAACGACCAUCGAGGGAAGGUAUGUCAAACAUAAAGGAUUUCACAAUCAUGAGGACAAUUAUACUAAGUAUAACUUCAACGAUUGAUGUUCAGAACUACUUUGGCCAGUUAUAACUUCUGUUGAGGGACAGUGGUCUGAAUAAAUAUUUUUUCAAUCAUUUAUAAUGAAAAUCUCAUUGAAACAGAAGUGCCUCGUUUCUUAGUAGCGUCUUGUUCUUAUGCCAGUUCUGUGCUUGGUGAUGUCGAAAGUAAGAUCUUGAAUAUGAGAUUUUCAUGGUAAAUUCCAAAUAAAAUCCGAUUAUUUAAUCUAUGAACGACAAAA